rnacentral:rRNA from 1 species
UACGUAGGGGGCAAGCGUUGUUCGGAAUUACUGGGCGUAAAGCGCGCGUAGGCGGCUUUGUAAGUUAGAGGUGAAAGCCCGGAGCUCAACUCCGGAACUGCCUUUAAAACUGCAUCGCUUGAAUCCAGGAGAGGUGAGUGGAAUUCCGAGUGUAGAGGUGAAAUUCGUAGAUAUUGGGAAGAACACCGGUGGCGAAGGCGGCGACCUGGUCCUUGACUGACGCUGAGGCGCGAAAGCGUGGGGAGCAACAGG